rnacentral:rRNA from 1 species
UACGUAGGGUGCGAGCGUUGUCCGGAAUUAUUGGGCGUAAAGAGCUUGUAGGCGGUUUGUCGCGUCUGCUGUGAAAAUCCGGGGCUCAACCCCGGACUUGCAGUGGGUACGGGCAGACUAGAGUGUGGUAGGGGAGACUGGAAUUCCUGGUGUAGCGGUGGAAUGCGCAGAUAUCAGGAGGAACACCGGUGGCGAAGGCGGUGGGCUGGGCCGGAACUGACGCUGAGGAGCGAAAGCGUGGGGAGCGAACAGG